rnacentral:misc_RNA from 1 species
CGCACAUUGCGCCCAUUAGUAUUCUAGUGGGCAUGCCUGUUCGAGCGUCAUUUCAACCCCUAAGCACAGCUUAUUGUUGGGAAUCUACGGCUUCGUAGUUCCUCAAAGACAUUGGCGGAGCGGCAGUGGUCCUCUGAGCGUAGUAAUUUUUUAUCUCGCUUUUGUUAGGCCCUGCCCCCCCGGCCGUAAAACCCCCCAUUUUUUCUGGUUGACCUCGGAUCAGGUAGGAAUACCCGCUGAACUUAA